rnacentral:rRNA from 1 species
UACAGAGGUCUCAAGCGUUGUUCGGAUUCAUUGGGCGUAAAGGGUGCGUAGGCGGCGCUGUUAGUCGGGUGUGAAAUCCCAGGGCUCAACCCUGGAACUGCGCCCGAUACUGCAGUGCUUGAGGGAGACAGAGGUAAGCGGAACUGAUGGUGGAGCGGUGAAAUGCGUUGAUAUCAUCAGGAACACCGGUGGCGAAAGCGGCUCACUGGGUCUCUUCUGACGCUGAGGUGCGAAAGCGUGGGGAGCAAACAGG